CACGAUCCUUCUCAGCUACCUUGGCAGCAUUCUGUCAGAAACCAGUCAACAAACAGAGCAGGGAAAAACAGCACCCCGAAGACAGCAUUCAGGACCCAGCCCUUUAGACAAAAGGGAUCAGAUCAGGUCUACUAGAUGGCCUCAUUCAGUCAGACACACCCAGUUAAGCAGCCCUGGAAAGGGACUCUAGAGAAUGCUAGAAGUACUGUGAAGCUCGCAGAUGGCCUUGUGGACUUUAGCACUUCAGACACAGCAAGAAGGCAGCAGUCUGCACACCAGGAGGAGAGUCCUCACCACAACUCAGCCCUGCCACACCCUGAUCCUGGACUUUCAGCCUCCAGAGCUGUGAGAAAUAAAUGCCUGCUGUUUCAGCAGCUCA
rnacentral:lncRNA from 1 species